rnacentral:lncRNA from 1 species
AUUCUACAGAUCUGCCAUACAACAUUGUGCUUAUGGUUAACAGUGUUACAGUGUGCACUUAAAUAUUUAUUAACAGGGUAGAUCUAUAGUUAAGUGUUCUUACCACAAUAAAAAAAGACUAAUGUAUUAAAAAGAAUUGUUAGUUUAUGUUUUUGUAUAUAUUAUGCAUAAAGAUGUAAUUCUUUGACACCAACAACUGAAAAAGGUGGGGACUGAGCUGUAAAGGAGCAGAGUUUUUGUGUGUUAUUGAAGUUAAGCUGUAUAAAUUCAAAUCAGAGUAUUAUAACUUUAGAAUGUUAAAUGUAAUCUCCAUGGUAACCACAGAGAAAGUAGCUAUAGAAUAUUUACAAAAGGAAAUGAGUAAGAAAUGUAAAUGCUUCACUGUAAAAAAAAAACAGCAACUAAAUACAUAUGAAGAAAGUAAUGCAGGAAAUAAAGGACAAAAAGAAGCUAUAAGGCACAUGGCAUGAUUCUACUUCCUGGCUCCCAUGGAGCUUAUGUACCAGUAAGGAAGCGUCUCAUUUAUAAGGGAGCAACUGGAAAUAUAGAAUUGGAGUUCAUUGUGACGCAGAUUUGGGAAUUUCAGGCCACAAGCAGCAGUUAUGGCCCAGGAAUGACUGAUUUUCCAAAGGGGUAAAAUGACAAGGAAAGAGAUGAAGACUUCUUCCAGGAUCCUGAGGUGCUUCAUUGUCUCCAGAGAGGCCCCAUCCCACACCCCUCAGUCACUCAUAUCUGGACACAUCGGACCUUGUCAGCAUCAAUAAUGGACAUACCUCUGAUAUUUGAACUUUGAAUCUCACUCUGUGACCAUGACUUUGUAUCUUUCUAAGUCUUUAAUCUUCAGCCUCACAGAACUCUUCGUACUCUAAAAUAUAGUAUUUUCACCUGGUCUGUCAUCCUCUUUAGUGCCUUCAUUUUUUUUUUUCCUCACCAAGACUGGUUCCCAUGGUGAUAUCAUGAAUGACUUUACCACUAAUAACCAAACUUGCAUGUGUUCCCCCUUC